CCCCCUUCUCCCCGCGCUUGGCAAGAAAAGCGGGCAACGUGGAGCGGGAACAAAGGACCCCGCGGCCCACGGCGAUCCGGGACGCGGUGCCACCCCACUCCAGGCCCGAGGCACCGAGGCGGCCCGGAGCCGGCUCCACGCCCACACGCGCCGAGUCCUGGGAGGUCCCAGGGAAGAGAGUCCAGACCUCGUGAGACCCAGACACCGGGAGUCGGUUCCUGACAGCGGGAAAGGAGAUUCCCGCGUUCUCCUUCCGGCAGUCAUCCCUGCGCGUGUCGCCCUGACCCAGGCCCCCGAGAAUCCCAUGGGCAAAAACUCCCGCCCCACUUCCUCUGCCCGAGCUGAGGCAGCCCGCAGCCGCCUCGGCCGCCAACGCGACCCGGCAACCAUGGCAGCGCCGGGAGCGCGGGGCCCGCGCGGCGCCAGCUCCUCGCCCCCAGAAAGCGGCAGCAGCGGCUUGGAGCGUCCUCCCCCGGGACCAGGACGCUGCUCCGCGCCUCGCACCGUCUCCCCAGCCGCCCGCGCCAUCCCUCUGCUCGGACUCCGGUCGCGCCCUCUUCCUCCACCGUCUGGAACCUGCGCGUAUUACCUGGUUCAUCUCUGAAGAGGUGGAAAAACUCAUGUCUGGAGCUUCGAUGGGGAGCAGGAGGAAGCGGGCGGGAAUCGGCCCAACGGAAAGCGCCUCGAGGCCACGGAAGGGGGGAGCGGUCGAGCGGGAAGACCAGCGGUCAGCCGCAGAGGCUGCGAGGAGGGGCCGCGCCACCGAGGGUUCGCGGGGACUCGCUCGCUCGCUGGCACUGCCGCGCGGAAGCAGCAGGCGGAGAGACUGUGCAGCUCGGCUGUGAGCGACCGACCUCCACGCGCGUCCCGGAGACACUGCCGCCGCCGCCGCCCCGCUCGCGCCGCACCCCCUCGCACGUCACCACGUGCGCCGCCGCCGUCGCCGCCGCCGCCAAUGUCUCCCGGCAGCUUCCGGCCCGAAGCCGUCAGCGAAUCACAAGCGAGCACGAGAAAGCUCCCGCUCGCGGCCCCGCCCACCGCUCGCCCAACCUCUCCUUCGCCGGCUUGGGUCCCUUCCUGCUCGGCUCAACUAGGUCAAGGCAAGGUAUCCUUGAAGUGUUGGAAGAAUGA
rnacentral:lncRNA from 1 species